CAGCGUUAUAUAUAUCACAUAAUUUCAGGCUACCAUAUUUCUACGUCAUUUUCUUCGUACUCGUUCUUCCCGAAGUCGUCUUACAUCUAGUGUGUGACAGUAUUAUUAAGUCGCCUAAACGGUAAUCACUCGAAACAUUUGAGGAUCUCGCGCGUUUACCAAAGGGAGCAAGAAAAAGCGGAGGAGAGAGGAGCCAUUGGCUCGUGCUUAAAACCGUGUCUUCUAUCCUCGUCGAGAUUACCUCAACAUACGAUUGAACGACAGUAGUGCGAGUUUCUUUUUGCUGGUUCUUUGCUCGAUGCCAUGGACCAUUAUCUUGUUCUCCUUUUCUUUAGAUUUAAAUAAGCGCGAAGUUCAAAUAAGUUUCUCAGGCUCCUCUAAAUUUGCCAAUAUUCCACGAUCCAAAAUUUCGAUCGAUUAAUCGUUCGAUCUAUCGAUGAAUCGACUUCUCUAGUCACAAGAGACGAAAAGUUAACUACGCUAUCAGCAAAACGAUAUUAUUAAGCUUUCAUUAUUACUUAUUGUCUUUUAUCAAGCAAUUUGAUCAUUUUCUUACCAAAAAAUUCUCGAGAACACGUCGCCUUGUAAUCACGGUGCAAAUAAUAAUCUAUUCCGAAGUGUCUAAAUCAGUGCUGUCUUAACCUAAUUUAAGGAAUGAAACGAAAAAAUACUAACAAAAAACAUCAACACAAUAAUUAAAAAAAAUCGAAAUCAAUUUAAAAAAUCAUAUAGCAGCACAAAAUAUUUCAAUUAUAGGUUGUUUCAUCUAUCCAUCGUACAUAACCUAAAAAAAAUCUACAAACAAAUAUUACUUUCAUAAACACUAUUGAUCUAUUUCCACAAAAUAUCUUAUCUCCAAAUCUUCUCAUCCAUCAUCUAAUCUCCAUCAUUUUUCAGAAUCCUAACGGAACAAGGAUCCUAAACCGAAUCUACAAACACCUAACAAAUCUCUCUCUUCGGAUAAAUAAAGAAAUACAAGAAUGGUCCAGGUUAUCGAGCAGCGAAUCAUCUUUGAGAACAGAGUCUAGGUUUCUUAUAAAGUAUAUCAGAGCAGUUCUGCACGUUACGUAGAGGUGAACGUCGUCGUGAAGUCGAUGCGUGUUUUUCCUUCAAGAGGAGACGAAAUGGGACGCGACGACGCCACGACGAGCGACGAAUGGGACGACCGUGGGUGAUCGUCACACGGUGGUCACCCGGUCGACCUCGACGUACCGCACAGAACUGUCGCUGUGUCAGCAAAUCACUUCUUUUCCAUCGAUGAUCGCCGUCUCGGAGGAGAUGCUCUUCAGCCUAUGCUGCGAUAUCGACCGAUUCGUCCGUUGCCUACAGAUCCGCCAAAUCACGAAAAUGAUGACGGCGAGAAUCGUGAUGAUGGCGAGGAGGCCAAGACCCAAGUGGAGGGGAGGCAAUUGCAAGAGGACAGAACAGUGAGUCAGAGCCUCAUCGUAUCCUGAUGGACAAUGAGAGAUUCCGUCGCACCACAGAGAAGCAUUUAUGCACGCAUCCAGCUCUGGACAUCGCUGCUCGCAAUCACGUGGCAUCUGCAACCCUGCUGUCGAUGUUACCGAUGGCCGUAGAAAUUCAAGCGAAGGGAAAAUUGAAUAAAUUGGAAUACUUUCUAAAAGGAUUAAGAAAUUUGGAUAUAUCGUUUUAUCAUAGGAAAUGUAUCAGAUUAAAUAUGAGUUCGAGCCAAGUGACCGUGUACGUAUCCGGUUCCUUGAUAAUAAACUCGAUAGCUAUAGUCCUGAUGGGGUCCUGACCCGGCACCAGAAUCAUGGCAUUGCUGCUGACGGCCCAGCCGUCGCUGAAAACUUCGACCACGUGGUGUCUAGACUCCGCAGGUGGUUUUGGGCACACCGACACGUGUAUCGUGCCACCGGUAUUGAUUCGGUCCAGGAUCUAUCAGCCAUGGAUGCUUCUCACAAUUUUUCUGAAGACAAGAUCAAUCAAAUAUAACUUAGAGAACUUCUUAUAGAGAGCUUCUUAAUUCAUCAUAAAUCAAAGAGUCUCACCUCGUCCUCGUCGACUAUAGGAGCUUUGUACUUGAUUUCUCCGGAAGGCCCCCUCACCCUCCUCUUCUGCAAGCAAGGAAUCGUCUUGACGAAUUCCCAUAUGCCCUCGAAGAACAGAUUAUUGUAGUCGUCCAACGCGUCCAUAGACCUGACGGUGAAAUGCACCUCGACGAUGUUCGAGGUUGAUUUGAUGUUGAUCGGCAGUGAUCGAUUGGAACAUAGGCAGUCUCGUUGUACGGGCGGCGCGUUCGGCCAUGGAAGAUCGAGCACCUGUGGAUAUCGAGCCGUGAUUCGGUCCCGCGGGUCGCUUGCCAUUUAAUUAGCCGUCAGAUUAUAUUAUAAUUGCAAGGGGACAAACAUGACGGCCGAGAGCAUAAGCGUUCCUAAUUGCGCUUUAAAUUCGCGAGACGAUCCUCGUAAAUUUUGGAAUCGAUAACGAACUUGGAACGAACGAUGGUAACCAUCGUUUCGGAUCGAAAUUUUAGAUUUAUUCGGCUUUUGCCCACCGCUGCCAUUCCGAUUACCGUUUACACGCCAAAUUUCUGAUAAAGUUUUAAUGAAAACGCGCCCUCGUUAAUUACGACCUCCCACUCCUCGUUCUCGUGAGUUGGGAAAAUUGUGUCGAUAGAGGUCCUCUCGAUCGCCAUAGGGAAACUUUAAAUUAAAAUCGUUGCUCAUUUGUGAUUGGUGUUCGAAUCUUAUUUGCGAUUUUAUUGGUGGGCUUUUAAAGAUUUAUCGUUCGGUUCUUUUUGUCGUUUUAAAAUGUGUAGAUAUCUUAUGCGUUAUGUUGUUCUUUUAUACGAGGCAUGUUUAAUGUUAAAAAAUAUUUAAAUAUUUAUAUUAAACGUGAAAUUCGAUAGAUAUUGUGAUAUUGUGAUUAGGAUAGUUAAGAAAUUAGAAAUAGAUAAGAAAUUUUUGAAAUUUUAUUUAAAAAGUACAUCUCGUAAAUAUGAAUGUUGUGUUGUUUUUCUUCUCGCAUCGGUAUUUUCAAUUCAUUUCUUCACAAUGUCGAGAAGAGAUUCUUAUAUUAUUGAAGCAAAUUUAAAUCGGUAUACCGAUUGAGAUCGAAGUGUGACAAUAUUGAAAAGGAAAUAAUUGUUUCGAUCUCUCUGAUUAAUUUUUGAACAAAGCUCUAUCGUUCUCGAUUAUCCGAACACCGACUUGCCAGUUGCCGCACAUUUGCUCACCGACGUUAAUAACUCUAUUCACGAGAGAUGAAUGGGGGCCCCCCUAGCGAUCUCGUGUCGUGCAAAUAUAAAACGGAGCAAUACCCAUUCAAAGUUCGUUUCGAAGAUUAAUUGGAACACGUGCCGCGUUAUUAUCGCGGAACAGAUCGAGGAAAGGAAAUAUUUGAAACAAGUUCUGCGCUUUCAAUGGCCAACAAGAAAACAUCAAAAAUUGCAAAAACCGUUUAAACCAAAAACCACGUCAAACAAAAUAGACGUUACAUACGCGAUACAAAAAUUUUUCCUCUAAAAUUCAUUCGCAAAAUAUAAAAGUACGUAUGAGAAAAAUAUUUUUAUAAACCGAAAUCGACGUAAGUAGAUAAUAGCAUACGAUUUUUCCAUACGAAUCCGUACUAAUCGAAAAUUAAUCCAACAGGGAUUGAACGAAACGAUGAGACCCACCUUCACGAAGAAGUUCUCCGAUCCAACGCAGAGGAGCCGAUUAAAAUCUGGGCUGGAGACGCUGCGGCACGUCCUGUUCCCGUUCAAAAGCUUGUUGAACCGCAGCUUCACGAUCUCGUCGUGCUCGCCCUCGAAUCGAUACACGCAGCUGGAAAAUCCGUUGUAGCCUGUACUAAUGGAAUUUACAUGGUCGGCCGGCCACGCAAAGGAAAUCUCAUCCUCGAUCCUGAUACCACAGGUAGCACGAGAGAUUACAAGGAGGGGCAGAUCAACCAUGGUCAAUGAUGUUUCUCGUUCGUUAACCCGAUCGUCGGUUUCUCUUGCGGUAAUUUGAGGGAGAAGGGAAAGGAGAGGUCGAAGGAAUGAAGGAAGAAAUGGAAGGAAGAAGAAAUUGGAAAUAGUAGAUAAGGAAUAGGAAUUUUAAUUUGAACCGAUUUUUCUUGGUCUCUGCUAAUAAUUCAUGCAGGUAUAUGGAAUUCUAUUUGAACGGUAAAUGGAAUGGGAUGAAGAAAAAUGAUGGAGAAAUGGAAAGAUGGGGAAACGAAGAAUAGAAAUUUUAAUCCGGAUCAAUUUCACUUGGCCUCUGUUAUAUUUCAUUCCACUUUCGCAUGGCGUGUAAUUGCAAUUGAGAACAAAGUAAACGAGUAUCCGUCACGCAGCAGCUAUGGAAUUCUAUUUGAACGGUAAACAAAUGAUAAAUAAACAACGAUCGACGUGAAAAAGCGAAUUGUAUAUGGUUGAUAACCGAUCAGAGUGCACUCCUUUCGAGGAAGACGUUACUUCUCUCGUGUAGAAAAUGAAAAGGUGUAAAAAUCCAUUUUUAUGAUCUCUUAUGAAGCAAGUGAUCCGGUUUAAUGGAUGGCCAAGAAAAGUUUGAUUGGGAUUGGAUCGAUUGAGGAGUUGUUCACGCGAGGGUUGAAACGGAGUAAGAGUUGAAUUCGGUGUCAAUGGAACUUUAGGUAAGGUUUGACUUUCCUUUCUGUGGAUUUUGUAGGUUGAAGUUUCGAAAAAGAGAGAAAGAGAGAGAGUCAAAGUUGUCAAAGUUGGAAGGAUAAACAAAGGGAAAUUUGUAAUAGGAAUGGUGGUUGGGUAAAGGUCUCUUGGAUUUGUUUGUAGUUGAGCACGAGAAAUCUGAAAGCUUGGAAAACGAAGAAGGGGAAGUUUUCGAUGAGAAAAUAGUGAUUUUUUUUUUAAGAUUCGCUUUGGAGAGAAUAAUAGCGAGAUAAGGAAAAAGAGUCGAAAGAGAAAAAUGCUCUAAACGAAUAGCUUUGAUAAUACUUUUCCAAUCUUAAGUUGGUAAAAGUUUUUAUUUUGUUAAACUCAUAACUAUGAAAAGAAAAAGAUUUUAAAGGAGGAGGAAUUCCUGACAAAUUCACGUUACUGUAUGUAGAGUGUCAUAUCUGAUUUUAACAUUUAAGUUUUCUCAGUAUUAUUUAUUUGUCAUGAAAAAUGUUUAUUUGUAAUUCAGAUAAAAGUUGAAUGGUGUCAAAAAAUGCAUAAUCUUUGUUCUUAAUUGUUUCUACAUAAAGAUAAAGAUUAAUCUCUUUUU